rnacentral:rRNA from 1 species
GAGUUUGAUCAUGGCUCAGAUUGAACGCUGGCGGAAUGCUUUACACAUGCAAGUCGAACGGCAGCACGGGUGCUUGCACCUGGUGGCGAGUGGCGAACGGGUGAGUAAUACAUAGGAACAUACCCAGUAAUGGGGGAUAACGCCGAGAAAUCGGUGCUAAUACCGCAUACGCCCUACGGGGGAAAGCGGGGGAUCUUCGGACCUCGCGUUAUUGGAUUGGCCUAUGUCUGGUUAGCUAGUUGGUGAGGUAAAGGCUCACCAAGGCUUCGAUCAGUAGCUGGUCUGAGAGGAUGAUCAGCCACACUGGAACUGAGACACGGUCCAGACUCCUACGGGAGGCAGCAGUGGGGAAUUUUGGACAAUGGGCGAAAGCCUGAUCCAGCCAUUCCGCGUGAGUGAAGAAGGCCUUCGGGUUGUAAAGCUCUUUCGGCAGGAACGAAAUGGUCACGGUUAAUAACUGUGACUUCUGACGGUACCUGAAGAAGAAGCACCGGCUAACUACGUGCCAGCAGCCGCGGUAAUACGUAGGGUGCGAGCGUUAAUCGGAAUUACUGGGCGUAAAGCGUGCGCAGGCGGUUUUGUAAGUCAGAUGUGAAAGCCCCGGGCUUAACCUGGGAAUGGCGUUUGAAACUACAAGGCUAGAGUGUGUC